ACGCUCGACACCUACGGAGGCAGCAGUGAGGAAUAUUGGUCAAUGGGCGCUAGCCUGAACCAGCCAAGUAGCGUGAAGGAUGAAGGCUCUAUGGGUCGUAAACUUCUUUUAUAUAAGAAUAAAGUGCAGUAUGUAUACUGUUUUGUAUGUAUUAUAUGAAUAAGGAUCGGCUAACUCCGUGCCAGUAGCCGCCGGUAAGUACUUGAGGCGGGCCGGUGGCGAAGGACG
rnacentral:rRNA from 1 species